rnacentral:lncRNA from 1 species
UUUAAAAAAAUUAAUUUUUUGCACAAAGCUUGUAUUGUCUAAAAAAUUUUAUUAGUAUGAAUUUAUUUAUAAGUAUUUUUAUUUACCUAUAUAUAUAUAUUAUUUAUUUAUUUAGCUAUUUAUUUAUUUAUUUAUUAUUAUUAAUUUGUGGGUGAUCCUAUCCCUGACUAACUGCUGCAGUUUGGAACUACGACCAAUUUGGAUGUAGUUCCAACUGCAGCAUUUGGGCCUUCUUGUGCAGUUGGAACUGCAGCAGUUGAACUCAACUAUACUAAACCAAAUAAAAAAAUUGUGGCUGCACGCAUUUACAACUGCACUGUAGUUAUAAAUGCGUACAACCAAACAGCCCCUUAGGGCGGCUAAAGAUACC